rnacentral:rRNA from 1 species
CCUACGGGCGGCAGCAGUGAGGAAUAUUGGUCAAUGGUCGGGAGACUGAACCAGCCAAGCCGCGUGAGGGAUGAAGGUACAGAGUAUCGUAAACCUCUUUUGUCAGGGAACAAAGGCGGGGACGUGUCCCCGGAUGAGUGUACCUGAAGAAAAAGCAUCGGCUAACUCCGUGCCAGCAGCCGCGGUAAUACGGAGGAUGCGAGCGUUAUCCGGAUGUAUUGGGUUUAAAGGGUGCGCAGGCGGUCGGUUAGGUCAGCGGUAAAAGCCCGGGGAUCAACCCCGGACCGCCGUUGAAACUGGCAGUCUCGAGUGGGAGAGAAGGAUGCGGAAUGCGCGGUGUAGCGGUGAAAUGCAUAGAUAUCGCGCAGAACUCCGAUUGCGAAGGCAGCAUGCCGGCUCCACACUGACGCUGAGGCACGAAAGCGUGGGUAUCGAACAGGAUUAGAUACCCCUGUAGUC